rnacentral:lncRNA from 1 species
UUGUUUUCAUCUAUUUGGGAGACCGCUUAUCUCGUUAUGAAGAGGUUGGUUAGGAAAAUGAGAGCCCGACAGGACAGACUAAUAAACCGAACAGUAGACAUCAAUAAUUGCAAUAAUCGUAUUUGCAAAUGCCUUCAUUAUACCUAGUUCGUAUGCGACCCAAAUACAAAAUAGAAAAGGUACAUUAAUAUUUGAUCACUUUUAUUCUAGACAGGCUUUUCAUGCGCUGCGUUCGAUACGGAGGGAAACUCUUUAUCGGCUCGAGCUUCUCGCUUGUCACAGCCAUCCCGUUCUCGUUCUCAUUAGCUCUUAAUUGUGUUCACCGGUGUCGCCCCGCACGUGAGGCGACGCAUUCUUUUGCCUUGAUCCCAAACGCGUAUAAAAAUGGUCCCGAAGUUACUUGUUAGUUUUUUGUGCGCUUUUGACUGAACAAUCCGGACAACGUGGCCACCAACGGGGGAGCGAGGACGCCCGCAUUGUUUGUCAAAUUCAGGACUGGCGCUGGAAGCUGUAGGUGGAGGGAAGACCAGGAGUGGUGCAGCUCUGCAGAUGCUGAAGGUGUGCCAAAGGGUCACGUGUGUUCCUGAAGGGACUGAGGCGACGCAGUCGGAGGUCCCUGCGGUGGCGGUCAGCGGGAGGUGUCAGGACCAACCAGCUCCUCGUCCAGGAAAGGGGAAUUCAUCAGACCGAUUAAAGGUCACGAUGGAAGAGCAGAUGGCUGUGCAGUUGCCAUGGUGUAGAGACCCAGGUGAGAACUUUGAUGAAUGUUUCCUUCAUUCUUAAAUGGACCAAAUGGCAACAACAUAAUCCCUCCCAAUUUUCAUAAAAAGGUUGAAGACUCUGGGAAUAGCUCA